UACGAAGGGGGCUAGCGUUGCUCGGAAUCACUGGGCGUAAAGCGCACGUAGGCGGAUUGCUAAGUCAGGGGCGAAAUCCUGGAGCUCAACUCCAGAACUGCCUUUGAUACUGGCGACCUUGAGUCCGGGAGAGGUGAGUGGAACUGCGAGUGUAGAGGUGAAAUUCGUAGAUAUUCGCAAGAACACCGGUGGCGAAGGCGGCCCACUGGAUCGGUACUGACGCUGAGGUGCGAAAAGCGUGGGGAGCAAACAGG
rnacentral:rRNA from 1 species